UAUUAUUUUAUGACAGACAUAUAUUUGAAAAACUCGUUUUAUAAUAAACUUGUAUGGUUUGCAUUCGGUAAAGAUUCAAAUGUAAAGUUAGAAAACCCAAUGCCUAAAUAAUAAGUUAACAACACAGAUAAUUUAUUCAUUAAGCAUUAUCAAGUCAAGUUCGCCCACAGUUUCCCCACAAUCGUGGAAUUUCGUGUGCAACGCCGUUGUUUGCGAGGAUGGUUGCGGUUGCGCAACCGUUGACAUUUCGUGUUUUAUUGAACAGCUGAUUUACACAGCGAAUAAUCGUAAAUUGCACUCUCUAAACAAUUGAUCAUUAAGCCGCGAUGCAAACAUGGGAAAGUGCUUUAUUACACUGAUGAUUCUUCUCUUGUGAGUGUCUGUGUGUUUGUGUAUAGUACGACGGUUGCACAACGUACGGUACCAGCGUCCUUAUUUUUGGCGGCAUUUUUUCACGGUGCGCGCUUAUCGAGUGGGGCCCCCACGGUUUCUCCAGCCACUCCUCGACGGCCAUCUCUCUUUCUUUUUAUUAUCUCGUCGGGCUUUUAUUAUUAGACAUUGCGUCACUGCCUUUUCUAUGCGUGCCUGACACCCGACGACCGCUUCUUGCGGUUCAAUACAAUGGUAAUCGCAGUUCUUCAGAAAAACACAUCAUAGAUGACUGUAUUCGGACUUUGGUGCUGUCGGUACUGAAGCACCUGUGUCAUAGUAUUGUACUAACAACAUUAAACAUGUUAUUAAAAGAUAUAGAGACAGUACCACCGGUCACAGUGCACCAACAUCAACAAUAACCAAAGCACAUCACAUCUGAAGUUCAAUAAAUAAACACGACGUCGAUGACGAUGAUGGUCGCCUAACGCACCAGACCUCACUCCGUUACCGUACCGUCGAACCGUUCGCGUGCAUGCCCGUCGUACUACUACGAGAAUCCACUACUAUAGGCACCACGCACAAAACUGGUAUCUCUCCGCCGUAAAAAUCUCGCGUGAAGAGCCCGAUGUGAGUCACUCGGUAGGAGGAGGCGGCUCGGCGGGUGAUGGAGAGGGGGGGUGGUGUCGACCGGAUUCCGAGAAAUUCGAGAGAUAAAUCGUUUCAGGCAUUUCAUGCCAGAUUACAGGUUGUAUUGUGUGUGUGGAUCGUGGAACGUAGCGCAGAGGCGGAUCCCGGACUCUUUUUUCCCCCACGGGAUCGGCGGCCGCGACGACGAAGGGGACCGAGGGUACGUUUCUUUAUUGCAGGUUCACGGUACGGUGUUACUGUUAUACACGGAUCGGGUUACACCCAAAACAAAUACCAUCAUCAGUCGAAACGUGUCCGGUGUCUUAAAGUGCGGAGUGGGACAACUGGUUAAAAUGUUUGGAGUGGCAAAAAACUUGUAAAGAUUUGUUUGAUAUUUUGUAAAAAUUUAACCAAUAAAAUUUUGACAAAAAAUUGAAAAUU